rnacentral:rRNA from 1 species
CACUCCUGCGGGAGGCAGCAGUGGGGAAUUUUGGACAAUGGGCGAAAGCCUGAUCCAGCCAUGCCGCGUGCAGGAUGAAGGCCUUCGGGUUGUAAACUGCUUUUGUACGGAACGAAACGGCCUUUUCUAAUAAAGAGGGCUAAUGACGGUACCGUAAGAAUAAGCACCGGCUAAAUACGUGCCAGCAGCCGCGGUAAUACGUAGGGUGCAAGCGUUAAUCGGAAUUACUGGGCGUAAAGCGUGCGCAGGCGGUUAUGUAAGACAGUUGUGAAAUCCCCGGGCUCAACCUGGGAACUGCAUCGGUGACUGCAUAGCUAGAGUACGGUAGAGGGGGAUGGAAUUCCGCGUGUAGCAGUGAAAUGCGUAGAUAUGCGGAGGAACACCGAUGGCGAAGGCAAUCCCCUGGACCUGUACUGACGCUCAUGCACGAAAGCGUGGGGAGCAAACAGGAUUAGAUACCCUGGUAGUCCCAUGAU